UCAGAUGAUGACUUGCAUGCGGAAAAAAAUGAUCGGGGCAACGCCCAGGAUCAUUUUCCUAGCAUACCAGUGCCUGGGAAAGACUUUGUGCACCUCCCUGAUGGAUCAUUUCAUCUGGCAGAAGGUAUUGUUAUUUCUGCAAAUCAAGCAGCAAAAUCUUAAAUAACAAGAAGGCAACACUUGUGUGCAAAGACACCGCCCAAGCAAUAUGGGGCACGGAUGGCCUUGUGAACAGAAGUGUGAGUGGCGUUGCUGCCCCCAAGCUCAGAGCAGCUG